rnacentral:rRNA from 1 species
AUGCAGGGGGUACUUAGCAAAUGGGCGCAAAAGGAGUUAUGUUCUGUACAAAACAGAAUAAAGUCUCUUAGAGAUGCUCUCAAGGGCUUCCGUAUGUUGCAUCAAACUCCCGAAAUCGAAGAGAAGAUGAGGCGAACAAAAUCUGAAUUAGAUGAAUGGCUUUACAGGGAGGAGAUGAUGUGGAGACAACGGUCUCGGAUAACCUGGUUAAGGGAAGGGGAUAGGAACACGGAAUUCUUCCACCGCAAAGCAACCUGGCGCAGAAAGAAAAAUAAAAUAACAAAACUGAAACGUGAGGAUGGAAGUUGGGCAGAGAAAACAGAGGAAAUACAUGGGGAGAUAAACAAUUUCUUCCAGGGCUUAUAUAAGCGAGACGACAAGGUUAUACCACAGGAGUUAAUUGACCUUUUCCUGAAGAAGGUGGAUGACAGAAUGAAUGAAACACUAGUCAAAACGGUCACCGAUGAGGAGAUAGGUGAUGCCCUUUUUCAAAUCGGACCACUCAAGGCCCCAGGGCCCGAUGGUUUCCCGGCUCGUUUUUUCAGCGGAAUUGGCAAACCAUGA